rnacentral:tRNA from 1 species
GGGCGGUUGGCUCAGGGGUUAGAGCACUUGCUUCACACGCAAGGGGUCACAAGUUCAAAUCUUGUACCGCCCACCA